GUGCCAUAUUUGUCAAUCAAAACGCCUGGGUCAUUUUUGGAAGGCUUAAAUGGUGCAGUGACUGUGAAACUUUGUUAGAAAAUAAAACAUAAAGUAGAUCAAAGUAAAAGAUUUAAUACCAUGGGUAUCUAUCCAAAGAGGCCACAGAGUGUAGUCUAAGUCAAAAACAACGCAUUUUGGGAAUUCGAUAUUUUUUACCAUAUUUGCUUGAUAUUUUAUGGUAUUGGUUAUUAGGUUCGUAAACAACAAGAAUGAAAGUCUUUUUAAGAGUGAUUUCAAGUUCAAAAGAUUGACCGUAACGCUUUCAAGAAGUUUACUGCCAGUUUGCUAGUUCGAUAA